rnacentral:tRNA from 1 species
GCGCCUGUAGCUCAACUGGAUAGAGCGCUAGCCUUCGGAGCUAGGCGUUGGGAGUUCAAAUCCCCCCGGGCGCA